AAAGCGGGCCGGGCCCCUCUGACGAGUGAAUGCAAGCAUUCGUGAUGUCGGACCGCAUCG
rfam:Caulobacter henricii strain CB4, complete genome.